rnacentral:rRNA from 1 species
UACAGAGGGCGCGAGCGUUGUCCGGAAUCACUGGGCGUAAAGGGCGCGUAGGCGGCGCGGUAAGUCACUUGUGAAAUCUCUGAGCUUAACUCAGAACGGCCAAGUGAUACUGCAGUGCUAGAGUGUGGAAGGGGCAAUCGGAAUUCUUGGUGUAGCGGUGAAAUGCGUAGAUAUCAAGAGGAACACCUGAGGUGAAGACGGGUUGCUGGGCCAACACUGACGCUGAGGCGCGAAAGCCAGGGGAGCGAACGGG